GAGUAAAGAGGAGCGUAUUUUGGAGUUGGAAACAGAGAAUGCUCUCCUUCGUUUGAGACUUGCUGAGUGUUUGUGUAAACUCCGCCGUGAGAGAGAGGAAGAAAUCCAUGUCCAGAGACAGAAACUUCAGCAGCAGAGUAAAGUGCAGAAGUCCACACAUGCAGCUCUCUCCAAACUUCUGUCUGAAGUUCAGAUGCUGGAACAGGACUUGAGGGAUGUUUUUACCAUCUACGUGAGGUUUGCUAAAGAACUGGAGGAACAAAGCAAGCAGCUGUUUGAAUGCGUGGGCACUGCCAGAAAUGCUAUUCAGGAUUUCCAAAGUGAUGACCUUCAGAGUGAGUGUGAACUCACACACCAACAUAUCAGUUCAUCUGUGUUAUCUGUGAAUAUUUGUACCUCCAAAUACACUUAAUGGGUCUCAUUCACUAAUUACAUGCACAUAGACUAUUCAGUCAUAUGGCAAGGUGAGAUAAUGGCCUGGAUUAUGAACCUCAACUCUGAACCUCCAUCUCCUCUUCUAUUUAAUCUUCUGCUCUCAUUUCCUUUUCAUCUGUCUCUUCCUUCAUCUGUCUCCUCCUCUACCACAAAACCAGCCUUGUUGUGACAGUAGGUAUGUGGUGCAGUGUUCAGAGAUUAUCCACAGUCCCUCUCCCCCAGCCUCUCCUCCAGGAAAAGCUGCUGUCAGCAGGGACAGAAAGGUCAUGUGUCCUGUGUCCUGUGCAUCACCUGCACACCAUGGUGACAAGCCUCCCGCAGGGCCUGUGGAUCGUAUCCCUUGUCAUUUAUAUAGUUGUAUUUGUAAAACUCCAAGCCAAACAGCUCCUCACUGAGUCUCAAAGUGCAAAUGAAAAAAUAUGUUACUGACAAAAAGCUUUUAAGGAUACCUUCAAAGACUACAG